rnacentral:misc_RNA from 1 species
GAAAUGCGAUACGUAGUGCGAAUUGCAAUACCUCGUGAAUCAUCAAUAUUUUGAACGCACAUUGCGCUGUCUGGGUAUCCCUGGCAGCAUGUUUGUCUGAGUGUCAGUGGGACCCAUCUUGUCUGGACGUGUUCCAGGACAGUUGUUGUGGUUGUAGCAUGGUUUGCUGCUUUCAUGAAAUUGUUGUUGUAGAAGUGCUACUGUUGCUUUGCACGAGUAAGGCUCUCCGUGGGAAGCGGUGGCAUUUUUCUGUGGAGUACAACCUGAUCUCAGCUCAAGCAGGAAGACCCGCUGAAUUUAA